UGAUAUUGAUUUCUGAUUAACUUUUGCAUUUAAUUUGGUUAUGAUUCCUAUAUAAUAUUUGAACUCCUCUAGUAUACUGUCGUGUUAGUAUUUAAUCUUCUUAGCUAUGGCUCCUUGAAUCUGUUAUGUUGUUAUACUAUUAUUCAGAUUGGCCCACACAAAAAGUUGUAGAAAACUAAAAGCAUGGGGACUAAACUUCAAUCUUCAAAGAUCAAGGAAAAGCUUGAAAAAAAAAAAAAAUCAAACUCGUAAGGAUCACGGACAUCAUAACACAUUGAAGCAUGAAAUUGGUUUACUUAUGGUGAAACAAUUGUAUGUGCUUCUAUGAUAAGUUAUUAAUAAUGAUAAACAAAAGCCUUU
rnacentral:lncRNA from 1 species